AAUAGCUGCGGUAUUAUAACUGUACUAAGGUAGCAUAAUAAUUUGCCUUAUAAAUUAAGGCUAGAAUGAAUGGUUUGACGAAAAUUAAACUGUCUCUAUUUUAUUUAUUAGAAAUUAAUUUUUAUAGUGAAAAAGCUUGGAUAUAUUAAAGGGACGAGAAGACCCUAUUGAGCUUUGAAAAUUUAUUUUGAUUGGGGUGAUCAAGGAAGAAAACUUCCUUAUAUAUAAAUUAAUAAACCAUAGUUUUUGCUUAGAAGAUAAGUUACCAUAGGGAUAACAGCGUAAUUUUUUUUGAGAGUUCAUAUUGAGAAAAAAGAUUGCGACCUCGAUGUUGGAUUAAAUAACCUUAAGGUGGAGAAGCUUUAUUGGGUGAAUCUGUUCGAUUUUUAAAAUUUU
rnacentral:rRNA from 1 species